CCUGUGGCCUCAUGGCUGCCUUUUUGUUCUUCUCUGGCUGUUGUGAGGGCUUCCUGACGCUGAGCUCCCCUCUUCUUUGUUGCUUGGUCGUAUUGGUGUCUGCAUCUACUGGUGAAUCAAGUUCUCCAAUGUCAUGGGCACUGACUAAGCUGGGUUAGCUGGUGUACUUUUUCAUUAAGGUCAUUGUCAGCUGCUGUUUUGCCUGGGUACUAAUGUUGCCUUGUAUUAGCCCUCACAUGUUAGCCUGGACCAGCUGAUGUGUUUUUAAUUGAUUGUAACAUGGUUUUUUGUUUUCUCCUUUCUUUAGUGGCAUUAGUCUGCUUAUAGUGGAGGCUAGGCACAGUAGUGUGGUUCCCUUCACUGUUUGUAGUGAUUGCAGUGAGCACGCGUGGUGGGUAAGUGGUUGCACCCCUGGAACACCUCCUACAGUAGGCUGCCUCCCGUUAGCUGGCUUCUGUCCACUCCCUUUUGUUAAUUUUGUAGUGUUUAAAAAAUAAAUCAUUUGAGUGUUUCUCUAUGAAAGAAUCUCUUGCUGAUUAAAAUUGUUACCUUCUUAU